GAUAAAGUAGUGUAGCCUGAUACAGGAAAGUUUCUGAGCAUAUCUGAAAAAAAAACCCGUAAUAACACACAAGACAUGACACAGUAAAUACAUUGUGAUGAUGACCACUUGACAGGGGAGAAGACGUACAGUACACAUACAAAAGAGAGUUUGUGAUACAUGUGUACAUAAAUACAUUAAUACAUGUAAUAAACAUAAAUACAUUAUUUUGAGGAUUUUUUUUUUUUGAUUGUUGUUUUUAUAAAAUAUUUUUCAAGAAAUGUAAAACGACGGAACAAAGUUGCACAAAACUUUUAAACGACUCCGUUCUCCGUUAGCGACACAUGAAAAUUGAACAUGUCGAAUGAAUCAACACACAAAAAGCACAACAGAAAAAGCACAUUUCUCUUCCUAUGUCACAAAUGCACUGCAAGUUUGGCUUUUUUUUCUCAAUGGUUAAGACAAUGUGAUUCUUAUAGUCGAGUUUCUGAAUAAUUUGUGGGCCGUGAACUGGAUCUCACUUGGCUAUAGGACCGUGGCUCGUUUCAAAACCUCUACCUCUACCGUCACCUGGUAUUCCGUUGAGAAAAUAUGUCUCUGUUACUUUACAUGGGAGAGAUAACCAUGAUUUAUAAAGCAGACAAACUUCCCAGCCAGUGAGAGUUAUAUAAACAUGAGCGUGGGCCGAUGGUGGUGUAUGGGCUAUGGAAAUUGACUUGGGUCCAGCGGAAUGGCAAUAAAGUAUGAAUAAAUGGAUUGUGGGGGAAGAGGGAGAGACUAGCUGAGAGAGCCGAUGGCAGCCAUUUUGUGUCUGGCCCGUGGCCCAUGGUGCCAUCUUACAAAUGACUGCAUUAACAGAGCCAAUUAAAGUGGCAAUCAUUUAAUGGCCACCUACGCAGCCGUGCGAGACUGGAACUUUCAUCACGUCAAUCGGCCGUAAGGCAGUAAUAUUCAGUUAGAGCAAUCUGGCCAGUGGACCGACUCAGCUCUGCUCUACUCUCAAUAAAACAUGCCACCACUCAGCACUGACUGGGUAUUAGGAACUACAGCUUUAGGAGGAGAGGAGUUAUUCUUUUGAAAAUAAAUACACUGAAUCGCUUUCAUUUAAUGGCAGCUAUCAAUAGUAGUUCUUUGUAGUUAAUUGUACAAAAAAGUUUGUAAUAAAUUUAAAAAAAGAGAGAAUAAAUGUUUUAUUUCCACCAAUUUUUCUAAAUGUAUUUUGGUUUUCAUAAACUAAAGAACACAUGCUUUCCAUGACAGGUUUCUCUCCCUUCACCUGAAAUGAAGGUGCAGACAGACUGAUGGGGACAUGAAGGUGCAGACAGACUGAUGGGGACAUGAAGAUGCAGACAGACUGAUGGGACAUGAAGGUGCAGACAGAGUGAUGGGACAUGAAGGUGCAGACAGACUGAUGGGGGAAAUGAAGGUGCAGACAGACUGAUGGGGACAUGAAGGUGCAGACAGACUGAUGGGGGAAAUGAAGGUGCAGACAGACUGAUGGGGGAAAUGAAGAUGCAGACAGACUGAUGGGGGAAAUUAAGAUGCAGACAGACUGAUGGGGACAUGAAGAUGCAGACAGAGUGAUGGGGGAAAUGAAGGUGCAGACAGAGUGAUGGGGGACAUGAAGGUGCAGACAGACUGAUGGGGACAUGAAGAUGCAGACAGAGUGAUGGGGGAAAUGAAGGUGCAGACAGAGUGAUGGGGACAUGAAGAUGCAGACAGACUGAUGGGGGAAAUGAAGAUGCAGACAGACUGAUGGGGACAUGAAGAUGCAGACAGACUGAUGGGGGAAAUGAAGGUGCAGACAGAGUGAUGGGGGAAAUGAAGGUGCAGACAGACUGAUGGGGGAAAUGAAGGUGCAGACAGACUGAUGGGGGAAAUGAAGGUGCAGACAGACUGAUGGGGGAAAUGAAGGUGCAGACAGACUGAUGGGGGAAAUGAAGGUGCAGACAGACUGAUGGGGGAAAUGAAGGUGCAGACAGACUGAUGGGGGAAAUGAAGGUGCAGACAGACUGAUGGGGGAAAUGAAGGUGCAGACAGACUGAUGGGGACAUGAAGAUGCAGACAGACUGAUGGGGACAUGAAGAUGCAGACAGACUGAUGGGGACAUGAAGGUGCAGACAGACUGAUGGGGACAUGAAGAUGCAGACAGACUGAUGGGGACAUGAAGGUGCAGACAGAGUGAUGGGGACAUGAAGGUGCAGAUGGACUGAUGGGGACAUGAAGGUGCAGACAGAGUGAUGGGACAUGAAGAUGCAGACAGACUGAUGGGGGAAAUGAAGGUGCAGACAGACUGAUGGGGACAUGAAGAUGCAGACAGACUGAUGGGGACAUGAAGAUGCAGACAGAGUGAUGGGACAUGAAGGUGCAGACAGACUGAUGGGGACAUGAAGGUGCAGACAGACUGAUGGGGACAUGAAGAUGCAGACAGAGUGAUGGGACAUGAAGGUGCAGACAGACUGAUGGGGACAUGAAGAUGCAGACAGAGUGAUGGGACAUGAAGG